CAAAGAAAACAGAGCGCUUCCCUAGCUCACUCUCCCUCUCUCCCUCACUUCCUGCUGGGGAAGAUGGUUUACUCCCUCCCCUGCCCUGGCUCAGGACCUGGCCUUGGUGUCAAGUUUCUCCAGAGCUUCCAGAAUCAGAGGCCCUGCAUGCACUCAAGCUUGUCCAGAUGUGUAGAAGGAGGGGCCAUCACUCAAAUGAAGCUACUCUGGAAGAAGACCUAGUUUGACAGGACUUCCAUUGGAGGUGAAAAUAUCACACCAACUGACUGUGAUGCCUUAGCUUCAGAGAAGAAAAAUAAUCAUCCUUGUUUAAAAAGUCCAUCAGUUCUCCCUCUCCCUCUCCCUCGAUGAGGAAACUGAGGACCAGAGAAAACAACUAGUUUUCCAG
rnacentral:lncRNA from 1 species